GACAGACAGGCACCAACAUUAACUUGUCUUUUUAAAAAAGCUUUCUUCUCUCCCCACCUUCUGUAACAACCCAAAGUCUCUUUAUUUCUGAAACUUGAUCUGAAUGUAAUGAUGAUUUUUUUUUCUGCUUUACCUGCAAUAUGCCAACUCAACUUGUAGUGGUCCACGUUGCUGCACACUUAUCAAAAGGCACAUCAGUUAUUUUAUAGACUUUUAUGUUUAUUGUAUCUGUAGAGCAAACUGCUCACUACAUUCAGCCAAAACUCUGAAGGCAAAAUGGCUCAGGUAUGGAUUUCCUUGGGGGUAAGGUGAUGCCAGCGAAGAAACAGGGAAUGCGUUUCCCCUCCAUGUGUGGCAUAGAUACAUGUGUCUAUGCCAGGUCAUGAACAAGAGAAGGAAACUGUGCUUCACACUUGUGUUUCUUAGGCUCUUGCAUCUGCACCUAAGACUCAUCCAUUUUUGCCUUCUCACUAUGAAAUCACUCAGAGUACACUGACACUUUUGAUUUGUGUUGCACACAAAAACCGCCUCUUAAAUCCCCAGCAUGACUAUUACAGAAGAUAAGGAAUCCUCGGGGGGAAAAAUAUUAAUGUUGUGUGCCCAAGGCUGAGCUAAAAUUACUUGGGAAACUUAACUCGUCCUUCCCCAAUUUAAUCGUGUUCAUUUAGCGUAGAUUUGUACAUACCACACAAAUAUAUUCCAUUACAGCUGUUACCAUGACCAGCAAAGUUUGUUAUUCAAAACAUUGUUCAACUGCUAGUGUAUUUGAUUCUGACACACCUAGUGGUGUUUCACCCACUCAAGUGCAACACAGGGAUUUUUGUUUGUUUUUAUCUCAUCAGAGAUACUUUUGUUUUCCCUUUAAACUGUAUUUUAAAAAAAUCUGUUUAAUUCAAAAUUAAUCUAUCCCCAUUUAGUCUAGUGUUUCUGCACCAAGUAUAAUACUUACCUCUCAUCUCUUCACAAAUGGCUCUAGUUCAACAAUUCUGUGUCAGCAAUAAAUGUAUUUUUUUCCAUGAGCUACUGAGGCUAUGUUUUUCAGUAGACAUGAAGACUUCAGCAUGUGUCUUUAUAACCUCUCUUCCACAGAGGCAAUGAGAUCACCCAGUUAAAAUACAGUGUGUUUAUAAAUAUGCUACCAAAAUCAAACGUGUCACAUGCUUGGUGAACAAACUGUUCAGUUCCCCUGUCAGUCACAGCACUCUUCAUUUUCUCUAUAUAAUCAGAGGGACAUCCAUAUGCACACAAUAUAUUUAAAACCCUGGCAAAUCAAAGCGAAUGCACAGCAGAUGAGUAAAUGCAGCCUGUCUUCAGCAGAAAAUGCAAGCAAAGGCAGUUGCCAGUGAAUAACGAGAGCCUGUACGUCUCCCCUGGUAGUGCCGGGGAGACUGAACGAUGACAUCAUUAGGACAAGAACUACCGCUGAUUGUCAUGGGAGACUGCAGCGAUGUAAAAAAUAAAUAAAUAAAAAAAAUCACUUCAGUACAAGCCGAGAGCCUGGAUUAAAUUUUGAUUUGCUAUGGAUUCUUCAAAUGCAAAGUAACAUCAUGUCUUGGUUAAAUAAGCUGCAUCUCCAAAAGGCAGAGCUGCAAUGCACCAGCUAUGACGAUGCUUGAUUUUACUGUCCUGCAGAUUAAUUUACACUUUUAAGGGGCUUCAUCUUGAUUUGUUAAUUCUAAAGGGAUGCAAAGAUGAAUGCAUUAACAUUGCCUCAUUAACAACUGAGUUUUGUUUUGUUUUCCAGCUGGAUGAUAGGAAUGUUCAAUGCCAAAAAUCCUGCUUAUAGCAACUACAGCUUGUCAGAAGUUUAUGUGCUUAUUUAAAACCACAAACUAACUGCAAAGCCAGCGUCUCCUCUCUUCCUCAAGUUUAUUAAGAAUUCAGUAAAUCCCACAGAGCCAGAGCAUUCCAUCUUUUUGCCCCACAAAACCACUUGCUCAUUUGCUUUGAGACAGAGAGCAAAAAGACCAGUUUUGAUCCCAGCUUGCUAUGACCAAGAGAGAACACAAAGGUCCAUGGAGGGAAAGGCAAUGAUCAACAGUGAUGUGCCUUGCACUGAAAGCAUGAAGAACUGGGUAUCUCGGUGAUCCUGCCCCUCCUCUGAGAGGACCUUCGGGAUUCCGCCAGAAACAAAGGACAACCUUUUUUCCCCAGAAAACAAGAGCUGCCACUACUCCUGGGGGGUUCUGGAGAAAGCGAGUCCUUGUCUCAAGCAGAUACUCUGUAAAUGGAGUUGCUCAUCCUUGAGGCCACCACGUUUCCCAGUGCCUGUACCCCAGCAGUUGCAUCCACGACAGAGGAGAAACCGAGAGCCCUCUGGGACACAUGGCAACUGGGAGCAGGAUGUUCCUGUCUGAACAGUUCUCCUGGACUACGGCUCAUUUCUGGCACAGGUCUGAGUGCCUGUGGAAAAGAGCAGGCUACUUGGAAUUACUCACACAGUGGAAACUUGAGCAGCAGCCUCUCUCACACGCAUCUCUGACCCAGCAGGCAGGGAACUAUGAGUACACCUACAAGGCAGUGCUAGAUAUACGGCUGUACUACCUGUAUCUGUGACUGUGUGACAGAGGCCAGACUCUGAUACAUCACCUUCUCCUGCCACUGGAAGGUGUAUUGUCUACAUGGCCUGAAAGCUUGACUCCCACUGGGGUAACUGGG